GGAGAAAAAGUAAUAAUAACUUCAGAAGACCAAGACCCAAGGGAGAUCGCUCAAAAUAAACUUCAAGAGGUAAGUCAAACAAAGAAAUAACAUGCUAUGAAUGCAAGGAAACAAGUCAUUACAGAAAGGAAUGUCCCAAGCUGAAGAAAGAAAGCUCCAGAAGGGAAGGUUUCAAGAAAAGCUCAUUCAGAACCAAAAAGCGACUGAUGGCCACCUGGGACGACAGUGGAUCUGAUUCCUCCAAAUCAGACUCUGAAGAACAGGAAAAUGUUGCACUCAUGGCUACCACCUCCAGAAAUACAUCAGAUGGAGAAUCUGAUUCUGAAGAGAUAUUUUCUGAUCUUUCUUGCUCUGACCUUGAAUCAUGCCUUUCUGAAACUCUAAAAUCAUAUCAGAAACCUAAAUAAAAAUUUAAAGCUUUAAAAGAAGUUCUUGAAGGAACCAUCGAAGAAUGUGAUAAGCUUGAGAUAACUGUUUCAGAACUAAAAGAUGAAAACCAAAUCUUGAUAAAAGAAAGAGACUCCACAAAUAAACAAUGUUUAAAACUUGAAUAAGCACUAUCUCAAGCCCCACAAACUUCUAACACAGUGAUAUAUGAAUAUGAAAAAUCUUUUCAAAAGUUUCUGAAAAAUGGGAUAGAGAGGAGCAGAAUGGCAUCCAUGAUUUAUGGAGUAAGUCAGAAUAAUAAAAGAGGAAUAAGGUAUGUCCCCAGUGAAGAUAAAUCUUCUACAGAUGACAAACCUAAAUCUCCUUUUUCUUAUCACUACACAUAUACACAAGCACAACGUUUUGAUAAUGCUAGAAAACCCAAAGUUCUAAGAAACUCUGGGAAAACUAAUCACAAAGGACCCAAAAGAUUAUGGGUACCAAAGGAUAAGAUUGUUUAUGUUGCAAAUAUCUUAUGCAGCAGAGUAAUGCUAGAAAACCCAAAGUUCUAAGAAACUCUGGGAAAACUAAUCACAAAGGACCCAAAAGAUUAUGGGUACCAAAGGAUAAGAUUGUUUAUGUUGCAAAUAUCUUAUGCAGCAGAGUUAAGACACCCAUCAUGGUACCUGGACUCUGGAUGCUCGCGACACAUGAUGGGAAGAAAGUAUAUGUUCUAAAGCCUGGAACUUAAAGAUGCUGGCUUCGUAGGUUUCAGAGGAAAUCAGAAAGGAAGAAUCAGAGGCUCCAGAACUAUUGGUAAUGGAACUCUUCCCUUUAUAUCUGAUGUUCUCUAUGUAGAAGGAUUAAUGCAUAACCUGUUAUUAAUAAGUCAAUUAAGUGAUAACGGUUAUGAUGUAAUCUUUAAUAAAAAACAUGUAAAGCAAUUAAUCAGAACAAUGGAACAAUCCUAUUCACUAGCAAGAGGAAAAACAAUAUUUACAAGAUAAAUCUUUCAGACCUAAAAGAACAAAAUGUAAAAUGCCUGAUGUCUGUUCAUGAAGAGCAAUGGGUAUGGCAUAGACGCUUGGGCCACAUUAACAUGAGAAAACUCUCUCAGCUAAAUAAACUCGAAUUAGUCAGAGGCCUACCUAAACUGAAGUAUUCUUCAGAAGCUCUAUGUGAGGCAUGUCAGAAAGCUAAAUUUUCAAAAACAUCUUUCAAAAAGAAAAAUAUUAUUUCUACCUCUAAGCCUCUGGAACUUCUUCACAUUGACCUGUUUGGGCCUGUUAAGACAGCGUCAGUCAAUGGAAAGAAGUAUGGACUAGUUAUUGUUGAUGAUUUUAGUCGCUGGAUAUGGGUAAAAUUCAGAAAGCACAAGAGUGAGUCUCAUUAUGUAUUCACUAGUUUCUGUUCCAAAGUGCAAAACGAAUUUGACUCUAAAAUCAUUAGAGUCAGAAGUGAUCAUGGUGGAGAAUUCGAGAAUAAAUUUUUUUAGGUACUAUUUGAUUCUAAUGGAAUAUCCCAUGAUUUCUCCUGUCCUAGAACUCCACAACAAAAUGGAGUUGUAGAGAGGAAGAAUAGGACACUCCAAGAGAUGGCCAGAACCAUGAUCAAUGAAACAAAUAAUGAUUUCUCCUGUCCUAGAACUCCACAACAAAAUGGAGUUGUAGAGAGGAAGAAUAGGACACUCCAAGAGAUGGCCAGAACCAUGAUCAAUGAAACAAAUGUGGCUAAGCACUUUUGGGCUGAAGCAGUAAAUACAACAUGUAAUAUUUAGAAUAGAAUCUCUAUAAGACCUAUUCUGGAGAAGACUCCCUAUGAACUGUGUAAGGGAAGAAAACCCAACAUUUCUUAUUUCCAUCCUUUUGGAUGCUCUUGUUUUAUUCUCAGUACUAAAGAACAUCUUAACAAGUUUGAUUCAAAAGCAAAAAAAGGUAUUAUGUUAGGAUACUCAAAACGCUCUAAAGGCUACAGAGUAUACAACACAGAAACCAAAAUUGUGGAAGAAUCAAUACAUGUCAGAUUUGAUGAUAAGCUUGACCCUAAAAAGUCAAAGCUAGUUGAGAAACUUGCAGAUUUGGAAAUCACUCUUGCAGGUUCUGACGAAAAGACUAAAGCACCAGAAGCAUCUGAUAUACAAAGUCCAGAUGCAAUUGAAGCCUCAACUAUUCAGAAAAGAUCAAGAAGUCGCCCCAACAUCUCUGAAGAUUUGAUUCUGGGGAACAAGGAUGAACCUGUCAGAACUAGGUCAACAUUCAAAGUAUCUGAAGAAACUCCUCUAGGACUAGUAUCUCUGAUUGAGCCUACUUCCUGUGAUGAGGCACUUCAAGAAAACGAUUGGGUUCUAGCUAUGAAAAUAGAGCUAGAUCAAUUCUCAAAGAAUGACGUAUGAAAUCUUGGUCCAAAGCCUAAAGGAACUCACAUUAUUGGAACCAAAUAGGUGUUCAGAAACAAACUGAACAAAAAGGGAGAAGUAGUCAGAAACAAAGCACGAUUGGUGGCACAUGGGUACAAUCAACAAGAAGGUAUUGACUACAACAAAACCUUUACCCCAUUCGCCAGGUUAGAAUCUAUUUGCUUACUUGUUUCAUUUGCUGUGAAUCAUUCAAUCAAACUAUAUCAAAUGGAUGUCAAGAGUGCAUUUCUUAAUGGUUAUAUAUCAGAAUAACUUUAUGUCAAUCAACCUCCAGGUUUUGAAAACUCUAAAUGUCAGAACACGUUUUUAAACUUAAGAAAUCACUGUAUGGUUUAAAACAAGCUCCUAGAGCUUGGUAUGAAAGACUACGUAACUUUCUUCUAGAACAUAAUUUUAUUAGAGGAAAUGUUGACUCUACACUCUUCUGUAAAAACAUUAAAAGUGAUCUCAUGAUGUGCCAGAUAUAUGUUGAUGAUAUUAUUUUUGGUUUAGCUAACCCCUUUGUAAGUCAAGAAUUCUCUGAGCUAAUGCAUGCAUAAUUUGAAAUGAGCUUGAUGCAAGAACUAAAGUUCUUUCUAGGAAUUCAAACCUAUCAAGCUUCAGAAGCUACCUACGUUUAUCAAAGUAAGUACAUAAAAUACGUUAUGAAGAAAUUCUAAAUGGAUGAAUGCAAACCUGCUAAGACACCAAUGCAUCCAACCUGCAUUCUGGAGAAAGAAGAAAUUAUCCAGAAGGUUUGUCAGAAGCUCUAUCGUGGUAUGAUAGGCUCCCUUCUCUAUCUGACUGCUACACGCCCUGAUAUCUUGUUUAGUGUAUGUCUCUGUUCCAGAUUCCAAUCAGAUCCCAGAGAAUCUCAUUUAACAACUGUUAAAAGCAUCAUCACGUAUCUAAAAUGAACACCUACCCUUAGCCUGAUGUAUGAGAAAACAUCAGAGUAUAGGCUCUCUUGUUAUUAUGAUACAGAUUAUACAGGGGACAAAAUGGAACGUAAAAGUACAUAUGGGAACUAUCAGUUCUUGGGAAAUAAUCUUAUAUCUUGGGCCAGCAAAAGGAAAUCAACCAUAGCUCUAUCCACUAUAGAAGCAGAAUAUAUAUCAGUGUCACUCUACACUACUCAGAUGCUCUGGAUGAAAAAUCAACUUGAAGACCUCCUAAUGUUUGAGAGUAACGUUCUUAUUUUCUGUGAUAAUACUAUUGCCAUUUGUUUAAGUAAGAAUCCUAUUAUGCAUUCCAGAGCCAAACACAUAAAAAUAAAACAUCACUUCCUUAGAGACAAGCAGAAUAUAUAUCAGCAUCACUCUACACUACUCAGAUGCUCUGGAUGAAAAAUCAACUUGAAGACCUCCUAAUGUUUGAGAGUAACGUUCCUAUUUUCUGUGAUAAUACUAUUGCCAUUUGUUUAAGUAAGAAUCCUAUUCUGCAUUCCAGAGUCAAACACAUAAAAAUAAAACAUCACUUCCUUAGAGACUAUGUUCAGAAAGGGGUAAUUUCAUUAAAAUUUAUUGAUACAAACCAUCAAUGGGAGGAUAUCUUUACUAAACCCCUCGCUGAAGACAUAUUCUCUUUUAUUUUGAAAAAUUUUAACAUUCAAAUUUGUCCAGAAUAAAUGUGCUUAUUUGAAUUAGCAGAAUAAGACUCUGAAUUAAACAUUUGGUAUCUGGAUCUGACUCUGAUGCUUCUACUAGUUAGAAGCUAUCUGAAUCAGAAAUCCUCAAGAUCCAACCCCUUGGUAUUCCUGAAGAUCAGAUAAAGUAACACGUGGUACCUUAUGCGUCUGACCUUGGAACUUCUAGACAUCUGUCUAGCAGAAAUCAAGAGACAGACUCUUGAAAUCUCCUCGAGCAAUAUGCUGAUUUGGGGAUUAGACCUCCAUCAUGGGCUGUAAUCAUUCUCCUCCAAACGUGCUAACUUGGUUAACGUGUUGCAUUUAAUGUUUUAACAGUUAAACUACUCUUAAUGUUGCCGUUUUGCAUGCAUUUUUAUGGGUAUAUAAUCUCUUCACUUCUUACAAUCUCACACUUUACACUCACGUCUACACUAAACCCUCUCCCUCUCAGUUCUUCAUCAUCUUCAAGAUUUCUGCAGUUUCUUCAUCAAGUUCUUCAUUUAACCUUCAUCAUCAACAUUAUUCUUCAUGGACUCUCAACAAUAAUCCGUCUACAACUUCUCUCAACAAAUGAAUUCAAUGGAGCAAACACUCAUUUCUACUCAAGAAACAACAACAACCACCAGCGUCGUCUCAACCCCUAUCUACAGGGAACCCCAUAUCCUUGAUCGUGAACCCCACAUCCAUCUAGCAACACCGUUUGAAAAGCUUGAAGUACUGUGUGAGUCGUUAGUGGAUUUUGAAAAUAUGAAGAAGAAUGGCGUAUACCUAACUGAAGAGUUAAGGAUACAAGGGUGGGAAACCUACUUUCAAAGACUUUAUGGCCCUGUGUACACAUACCUGGUGAAGGAGUUAUGGUGUUUUGCAGACUCAGAUGAACACUACAUAGUCUCUCACGUUCUAGGAGUCAAGAUAGUCAUCAUUGAGAAAUCUAUUGCUUCUCUUUUGAACAUGGAGAAGACAGGAGGAAGACACAUCUACAACAUCAACCCUAGGGCAAAAUACUUAUCCCAGGAAAUCAACCCUUCUAUUUUUAACAAUAUGCUGAAGGCAAACACUCCAAGAACAAGGAGCUCCAUCAGAACCUUCGUGUCUGGCUGAAGAUUAUCCUAGGAACCAUUCAUCAUCGUCCUGCAUCAAACUCUUCUGACUACAUCAACACAGAUCAGAAGUGUAUUAUGUACUACAUCCAUAAAGGGCUGAAACUAUGUCUGCCAGCAUUACUCUUCAAGUAUCUCAAAGACUCUGCCAAAGAUACCAGAAACAACUUGAAGACCAGGAACUACAUCCCUCUAGGAAGACUUAUCUUAGAUGUUCUAAUCGAGAGUGGCUUAGUAGAUCACCUGAUCCAUCUCAGACUAAUGGAAUAUGUCACUAUUGACAUUGGAAGACCUCUGAAUGCUUGGAAUCUGAAGAGCAUGGGGAUCAUUGAUCAAGUCAGAGCUAAACCAACACUAGACACCUCCUGGGAAGCAUUCAGGGAUCAGAGGAAGAUUCCCAACAGACUCUAUCUGUUCUCCAAGAUUGACCCUCCAAAAGUGGUAGCUUACUAUCUACAUGAUUUGUCAAAUCAAGGGGUGGACAUCUCUGAUUUCUCAGUGGACUGGCUACCUGAGCAUCCACCACACUUCAUGAAGAGGAUACGAGAUCCCUAUGAGAAGUCCAAGAAGGCAAAGAAAGCAAAGGUGGGAGAAUCUUCUAGGUCAAGACCCCCAGUCCCUCUGGCUGGCUCUCCAAGUAAGUUUUUACCUCUCUCCGGCUCUGUUAAAAUAAAACAUAGUGUUUCUUCUCUUCCCCAAACCACUCCAAUAUACACCUCAUCUGAAACACCUCUCUCAACCAAUAUAACCUCUAACCCACCCUCACUUAAAUUCAACCUUGCUACGACCACACUACCCAUUUCUGAAGCAGAAAUGCUGAAUGAAACUAACUCACCAUAAUCAUCAUCCUCACCUCAAUCCCCACCAUACUAUGUACUCUCCUCUAACAAUGAACCAUCUGACCCCUAAUCCCCCAUUCUGGCUCAGCUACAAGCUCGUGCUCCGACCUCUCAACAACCAUCACACACUUAACCUGAACCAGAAGUCACUUCCCCAUCCUCUAAACAUCCAAAUCCAACAACAUCUAAACAACCUCAAACAUCACCACCUGUACAAUAACCAAAUCCACCUCCUGAACAACCAAUCAACUCUGAACCUCAACCAAUCCACUCACCAUCUGAACCAAAUCCAUAACCUGAACAAAUAACACCUUCCCCCUCUGCCAUUCCCACACCACCAACCUCCGUUGCUCCCAUCACUCCCACUCUGAAUCUUGAUGACACUAAUCCACCUUCUCCAUCCUCCCCAGUCUCUGCCAUUGAACAAGAAAUUGCUUUCCCUACCCUUGAAGAAGCAAUAAAAGUUUUUGCAGAGUCUUUGUAGCACCUCAAAAUUUUCCCUCCCCAUUCAUGCAUUCAUUUCAUUCAUUUUUUUAGGUCAUUUAUCAUUCCAUAUUGCAUUGCACCAUAUCAGUCAGAAUUGGCAUCAAGAGAAUCCCCAGUACAAAAGAGCAAGUCUUUCCUUGAGAUGAAGGCCACAUGAUUAUUCUGAAGAGCUUAUAUGAGCUAGGGUUCAUUUUGAAGCAAUUUUACCAAGUGGCAGAGGCCCAAUUUCAUCAGUGCAUUUCCAGGUCAUCUGAGGACCAUAAAAGUCAACUGUAAAGUCAACUGAGGGCUUUGAGUUGGGGAAGUGAGUGGAAGCAUCUCAUUCAUGUUCAUACAAGGCCUAUUCAUCAUGUCAAACACCUACCUUGAAGAUUUUGAAGUCAAAUAAAGAGUUUCCAAAAAUGGAAAAUGACCUGUAAUUCAAAGUUUCCAAAAAUGGCAAGUUUUUGGACCACAUUCAACUUGACUUUCCAACAUCAAAGAAGCUUCAAAUGAAUUUUUGGUGAACAUGAAAGUUGAAGAUCUUUCUCUCCCAUUUCCAAAAAGUCCAAGAUUAUGUUCAUCUGAUGAAUGGUUGAGAAGUUAUGGCCAAAUGAUUCCCAAGUGUGCAUUGAAGUUCAAAGUGGCAUAUCUUUUGAUCCAAAACUCCAAAUUGAACCACUCUUUUUGCAAAAUGCUCCUUGUGACCAAGAGAUUCCAAAUCGAUCAUUGCAUUGCAUGAAAUAAGCCCACAUGAUCAAGUGUUCAUUCAUGUACAUUUUGGAAGGAAAAUUGAGAAUUCAAAUUUGGUGGAUCACAUGAGCCUAAUUCCAAUUCCAUCAUGUUUGUUGGAUGAUUUUAAGUGAAAUUGUACCUUGCAUGGCACUAUUCACAUGCACAUUGCUCAUGCCACCUCUCAUUUGCCAAAUUGGUCAUACACCUCAUUUCUCUCUAAUUUCCAAUUAGCCAAAGCUUAAACUGGAUUUCAGCAUGAUUAGUGGGAGGUAUAUAAGCUAAAUCAUAACAGAAUUUGCAGAGAACACAUUUCUAGAUCUGAAAAUUUCCAUUCUCUCCAAUUUUUCUCUCAUUUCAAACUUGAAAAUUCUUCACAUAACUCAUCAACUUUCGUGCAUAUUCUUGCUUAUCAUGGAUCAUUGAGUAGAAAUCCACCUUGGUUUGAAGAAUAUAGUGCAGAUUCAAGUUACACAAGUGCAAACUCAUGAAGAUGGAACUUGCAAUUUGAGCUAGAUCCAAGCUGUUUCCAUUGCCAAUUCUUUCACAAAGCUUCAAGGCACGCAUAAAGAAGUGAAUCUGGAGCUCCAUAGAAGCUGAGGACACUGUUUCAUCACACUGCACUUCAAGAAGGUUGGAAUUCGAUCACCUCUUUUCUCCAUUUUCUGUACAUGAUUAGAUAGAUCUUGUUGCGCUGAGAACACUGAUAGUUUUAGAAUCGAGACACUGUUUCAUCACACUGCACUUCAAGAAGGUUGGAAUUCGAUCACCUCUUUUCUCCAUUUUCUGUACAUGAUUAGAUAGAUCUUGUUGCGCUGAGAACACUGAUAGUUUUAGAAUCGAUUUUGGAUAAGAAAUGAAGAAGAUGUGAUGAUUUAAAGUUUAGAUCUAGGAUUCUUCUUUGCUUCGAUUUGUAAAAUCCAUGAGGAAUUAGGCUUAGAUAUUAUGAUAUUUGUGAUCUGCUCAUCAAGACCUUUCCAAUGGUAUGCGUGAUUUUGAUUUCUGCAAAAAAAAUUGUGUCUUCUCCGCCUGGCUGGCCGGAGAAGACGGUGGAAACCUCCACCAGCCGCCGCCUGCAUUUAAUUGCUAGGGUUUAUCCCUGCUGGCGCUCGCGUGGCUCCCUGUUGGCGUAACCAUUGGCCUUCACUGUUUUGACCGUUCCACGCGUACCUUGACUUGCUGACUGGCACGCCACUUCAUUAGUGGAACGGUGCGUUUUGAUGCAAAACGCGCCUGUGACCUCAUGAUCCUCUGUUCGAUCCUCCUUGGCAUGUUUAUUUGAUUUAAUUUUGAGCGUUGCUUUGACCUUGCAUACCUCUGUUCGAAACCUGGCCAUGACAUUUCUGAUUAUUAUUUUCCAGCGCUUCUUAGACUGGCAUGUCCUGGGUUCAACACCUAGGUUUAGCAUUUUUUUAAAAUGGCAUUUCAACAUUUCAUUUCCCUCCACAUUAUUUCAUGAUAAUUCAUUAUAUUUUCAUCAACUUGCAAAAAUCAUAAAAAAUAGGAAAUUAAUCCAAAUUGCUCCCAAUUUUUUUUCACUUGAUUGUAUUGAUGUCUAUUAUUUUUAGAUGUCAUUUGUGUGAAUUGAAUGGUUCUGGUUUUUUAAUUGAGAUUGUGUGUUUGAACAUGUAUGCAAAUUUACCAUGCUUCAUUCAAUUGAUUGUGAAAUGCUCAUUGAUUGUCCAAUUGCCUUGAAAUUUAACAUGCUUGAUCCUAACAUGUUGCCUGAUUUUUGAGAGUUGGUUUGGCAUUUUUACCAUUUGAUAUCACUGUUUUGUAUACAUGAGCAUAUGGUGUGACAUUUGGUGUAACCUUUUGAACUUUGCCUUUAUGCAUUUUCAUUCAUAUACCAUUUGUUGUCUUCUGGAGCUGAUUUUUGGUAUGAUGUUUGUCCAUAACAUGUUAAAUGCACAUAAAAAAUUUCAUGAUCAUUGGAUUCAUUUCUGUUUUAAUGUGGAUUUUCUAUGUUUGAUGUCCAAUUUUGAUCCCAUUGCUUGCCUUUGCCUCAUCUUGAUUAUGUGAUGGCCUUGCCUUUUGAGUUGAACUUGGUCCUUUUAAGGACAUCUUCUUGAUUGUUUAAAUGUGAAUUUUGCAAAAGGUCAACUUCUGGUUUGGUCAUUUGACUUGCCUUUGACCCUAGUCUUUGUACUAGUGGUUUGUACUGACCAAUUGUGUUUUAUGUUUCAGGUAUUUAGCACUAAUGGUUGGUUUGGCAUCAUUACUUGAGAUGCCAAUUGCUUUGAUCACUAACUCUUGUUGUUUUGUAGGUCAUUUGAUAUGAUAAAACCAUUUGAGUGCUUGCACUUGUGCCUUGCUUUGUGUAACACUGCUGAUUGGAUUCUCUGUUUUUCUGAUUGUUUGUCUGAGAUAUUGACUGUUUGGAUUUUGUACAGGUACAUUAGUCGCUUUUAGCUCUUGCUUGAGCUUUGCUUUGGAGUGUGGUUGAUACACCACUGACUUAGGUAACCAUUCUCUUUCUCCAUGUAGUCUGGAAGCCCUGUCGUUUUGUUGGCAGGCGUUUGGCUGAAGUCCUCCUUAAGAGGCAAUAUCUGUGUUUAUUUAUAUUUGUGCCAAAGACCUCUAAAUGAGGCAUGUUGUUUGUUAAGUCCUCCUAAGUGAAGAGGCAAUUGACAGAUAGAAGGGAUUAGCAAUCAAUCCCCUGUUAUUCAGUGAGUCUUUCAUUAUGCUCGCACUACGUGCUGAUGCUCUUGAACCUAACCCAAGAUCUUUGUAUAUAGAGUCAGUCAAGUGGAAUAGGGUCCCUCUUUCUGGAUCCCCAUGAUUUCUUUGAUUCAAGCUCACCCAGGUCAGGGUUAAGAUCUAUGAGGUCUUACCCUCAUUACCUUUCAUCUGCUCACCCUGACGGUCAAUGUCAGUGGUUAAGAGCCUCAACACACCCCUACAGUGUUGGCUUGUUUGUCGAGGUUGAUAUGACCCCUCUUGACUAAAGCCCAGCCUUGUAUGAGCCGCUUGUUUGCAUAUAGAGUGUGAUACUUGCUCACAUGUGAUUGAUGUUUAUUUGUUGUUUAGAUUGACUUGCUUCCUGUGCGAGUUAGGUUCUGAUUAGAGACCUCAACUUAGGGAUCGUUUGCAUGACAACUUUUAGGCUCGAGUCGUAGUCUCCCUAUUAGCUUGAAUAGAGGGAUCAGAGACCAAUCGAGAAAGUUUCUCCCCUGUUAAGGGGAACUACGUCGCCCUGAUUCUCAUACCAGAUGAGAUACGUAGGCAGGAGAUUGAGCGAGAUCUCUCCGGGCACUCUUUUUCUUUUUUGCGUUUGUUGUUUGGAGUCGAUUGUAAGACCAUCUAUUGGAACGUUUUUCUUGUUUGUGUCUGUUGUUUGGAGUCGGAUGUAAGACCAUUUAUUGGCAUUCUGUUUCCUUGUUGAUGUGUUUAUUUUAUGCUUGAUGUUUUUGUGUGGUGUGAUCGUCUUCCCCAUAGGUUUGCUAGAUUUCGUACAGUCUCUCGUUUGCAUGUCAAUUAAGGUAGCACGGUUCCUUCGUCUAGGACUUCCUUUUUGCAUGAGCAUUCCUAAAACACAAACAAACUCUUUGAUUUUCUUUUCUUAAGGACACGUUAACUCCUUCUAUUACAGGUGAGUAAGUCUCCAAAGGUCGAGCAUCCGGUAGAUUUCAUAGUGACGUUGUUCAUCUAAAAAACACAAAACAAAUAGAAAAUAGGUUAGCCGAGCUACGGUGCUCUGAUUCUCAAUCCUUCUUGAGAUACGUAUGCAGCAGGGUAGGGCCUGUGCGAGCAAUAACUCUUUGUUUUCCCUACUUUGAUUUUCUCUCUUUUGCAUUGAGCUACGGUGCUCUGAUUCUCAAUCCUUCUUGAGAUACGUAUGCAGCAGGGUAGGGCCUGUGCGAGCAAUAACUCUUUGUUUUCCCUACUUUGAUUUUCUCUCUUUUGCAUUGCAUGUAGGACUUUUACACACACUUUAGACAUAAAUAGCAAACGUGGAUCCUGUGGAGUGCCACAGACGUGAAGAGGUGCGAUAACCUUCCCUUCACGUAACCGGCCCCCUUACUCAGUUUUCUAUGGUUCGAGACUUUGUUUUAUCCGUUCCCUCUAGGUUAUGCAGUACUACCUUUCCCUCCUCUUGGGGUAAAAGUACAUAGCUGGCGACUCUAUUCUUUUCUUCUCGCCACUCUUUUUCGCGUUUGUACCUGGAUUUGGGAAAUCCUGGGGAGUGACAGUCUUCAGUAGAGAAGAUCAAGUCUCUGACUAUCAACUCUGGCAUCAGUGACAAUCCCUCUGAAGUAAGGAUCCACUGGAACAGAGUGAUCAGUUGGAUGACCUCUGAAGCCUUCAAAUUGAAAGACCUCUCUGAACAAGUCCGCAACGACUUCAUCAGAGAUGCUGAUAUAAGGCUCCAAGAUCGCUUAGCCAGAGAGGCUAAGGAAUAGGCUAGAAAGGAAGCAGAAGAGAAAGCGCGUGUAGCACCUCAAAUUUGCACCUCCCAUUUGUACAUACAUUUUCAUUUUAGGUCAUUAACAUUGCAUUAACAUUUGCAUAGUCCAUCACAUGUCAUCAGUCAGACUGGUCAGGAGAUUCAGCUGUGCAAGCAAGCAAGUGCAUUUUUAUGGAAUCAAAGCCCUAGAGUUGGUGCAAUGAGUUCAUGUGACCCAAGGAUCAUUUUGAAGUGGUUUGGCCAAAGAUUGAAGGCUCAAAGCUCAUCAGUCAAGGUGCAAUUCAUCUGAAACCCUAGAAAGUCAACAGAAGUCAACUGUCAAUUCAACCAUGGAUUUGGAGGUGGGAGAUGGUUAGAGAUGCCUCAUUCAUGUCCAUACAAGUCUCAUUUGACAUUUCAAACAUCAAACAUUGAAAAUUUGAGGUCAGAUGAAACUUUCCUAAAAAUAGUAAGGUGACCUGUAAUUUGGAAUGCCAAAAAUGGAAAGGGUUUCACGUCAAGAUAUAUCCUCAAGAAGCUAAACUGAAAUUAUUUUCCAAUAUUGAAAUGUUGAAGAUAUUUCUCUCCAUUUCCAAAAAGUCCAAGAGCCUAAUUUCGGCAUGUAAGGUUGAAGAGAUAUGGAUCAAUCAUGGCCAAGUGGAACAGGAACUUCAAACAUGCAUAACACUUCAAACCAUAAGGGCCAAAAGAAAUGUUUCUUUUUGCAAACGAUCUAGUUUUUGACAUAUUGCCUAUCACAAAAUCAGCAUCAAACAUGCCCCAUGCAAUUACCAUCACAUAAUUAUUUUGAAAUUUCCACCCUAAAUUUGGAAGGGAAAAUUCAAAUUGAAAAUGAAGGCAUUGUUGAUGCAUCUAGCAAUUGCAUUUGCUUCUAAUAACAUUUCAAGUGAAAUUAAAGCGAACAACGGCCACGUUCCAUUGAUUUCAUGCAUAGAGGUGCAUUACCAAUUUUGCCAUUACACCUCAUUUCCCUAAUCCACUUGCCCAAUCUUAAACAUGUUUAAGGACUUGAUUAGGAAGGGAGUAUAAAGGGCUAAGCCUAACUGUUUUUCUAUUAACACAAUCAGAAUUCAGAUCUAGAUCUAGUUUCUCACACUUUUGCUCUCACUUUUUUCUUCAAUUUUCUCCAAACACAUUGCAUUAUUCUUGAUUCAUUCAUCACCUGGAAGUAUAUUUGAGCAAGAUUGAAGCAAGAUUCAGUGGAAAUCGUGCAGUUGGAAGCUGGUUAGAGCUUGAAGUUCAUCCAUGGUAGUUGAGAAUUCUGGAAGAACCGUGUACAUCUAAGCCUCAAGCAUUCAUCUAUUCAUCCAUACAAACACUUUGGAGCAUCUGUUUGUGCAUUUCAUGGCCUGAAUCAAGCUAUUCCACUUCUGCAUCUUCAUCAAGGUCAAAAUCGCAUCUCUUAAUUCAUGAAAUUGUUAUGUGAUUGUUGUAGAUCGUGCAUUGCUGAUCAAUUUGAGCUUUGUUUCAUAGAAAUCCAUGUAGAAUUGAGAUAGUUAUGCUGAUUUGAAGUUUGAGCUGAUCAAUUUGAGCUUUGUUUCAUAGAAAUCCAUGUAGAAUUGAGAUAGUUAUGCUGAUUUGAAGUUUGAUGUGUGAAACUUAAUUGCUUCGAUUUGAUCAUGUUAGUGAGAAUUAGCUUUAGCCGGGCCUGGAUUUGUGAUGAGUGAUGAGUGAUGAACACAUUGAUGUGCUUGUCUUUAAUUUCUGUGCAUUAUUUGUUCUUGAGCAUGAAGAACAUGAUGAACUCGUAUGAAGCUGAUGCGAAAAUUUCCAGAAAAACUUGUUUGAUCCUCCAAAACCUAAUUCCUUGUGUUUGCAUGUGUUUUUGGAAAUGCUGAACAUGUAUUGGUCCAUCUCGCUGAUUACAUGGCCUUUUGAUUGGUUCCCGUGUGUUUGACCCUAGCCACGUCACCUUUGACUGCCACCUGCGUUUAAUGAAACGCAGAGUUUCAUGUAUGUGGCGCCAGCUUUUGAAUGCUACAUCAAUUCGAAUCCUGGCUCCAGCACAAAUUCAAAUGCCAUUCACAUUUAUUUGGUUUCCCUCCAUUACAUUCAUACAUGCUUGCAUCACAUUUUUUAUUUUUUUCUUUCACUUCAUAAAUUCAUAUCUGAUUAAAUAAUCAUCCAAAAAAUGUGUGUAUUUUUGCAUCAUGCUCCUUAUUGUUUCUAGUUUUUUUGAUUAUUUUUCCCCAUUUUAUGCACGGCUGGAAAAUAAUUGGUGCUAGGGAUUAUGAACAUACAUGUUCUUUUGUACCUUGCCUUACUAGUUCAUUUGUGAAAUGAUGAGAUUUAAUCCAAUGCUUAUGAAAUUUGACAUGCUUAAACUAGACUCUUGGCUGGACAUUUUGGUGUUGAGUUUGCAUUUUUAUCAUUUGUGGUUGCUGAGAUAUGAUCAUGUGAAUGUAGGUGUGACAAUGUGUGUCACACCUUUGCUUGCUCAACUUGAUUAAUUUGUUUGCCAUGCCAAAUAAACUCCAAAUGCUUUGAUUAUUUGCAUGAUGCUUGAUAUGGAUGUUAUGAUUGAUCAUGAAUUUUCUUGGAAUAUUUGGAUUCAUUUCUGAUUUGUUUGAGAUUUUUAAUUCUGGAUGGUCAUUUGUGCACUUUUGAAUGGUAUUGAAUUUCAAUCAUUUGUGAAAUGCUUGUGCUUUAUCAUAUGAAUGUGAAAUUUUGCACACUCUUUCUAGACAUUUUUAAGGUUGUUUUGGCUUUGAUUUUAGGUUUUUACCUUGAUUCAUUUCUGUUUUAGGCUUGUGCUAAGUUGGUGUAACAUUUGGUGUCCCAUUUGAGCUUGUUUUGAUUUCCUUGCCUUAUACAAUUUGAUUACCAUGCCAAAUCAUGUCCAAUUGCCCUAAUGUUUUGUGUGUUGAUCAUGUUGUGUGUUCUGUUCUGUUUAGCCAUGAAUUUUGUUGAGAUUUAUUGAGUCAUUUUUGAAUUAAUGUGCAUUUGUUCAUUCUACUGCUUCAAUGUGCUUUCAACUUGCAUACCUUGCCAUGAUUGGUUUGUGAAAUGAAUUUGGUAAAUGAUAUUGACAUUGGACCUUUUGGAUUGUGUUCUUAAUUGAUUGAGGUUGGUUCAUGUUCAAUUUCGUGUUCUGUUUUGGAUUAUUUCUCCUUCUUUGACCCUAGGCGUUGACCUAGUGGUUGGAUGCUUAUGUUUGAGUUUUGAUUUCAGGUUAAGAAGCUCAUUGCUAUGAUUGGAGUUGCUCACUCAUUUGAGUUGACUAAUUGGAUGAUGUUGACUAAUUUUAAGUUGUUUUGUAGGUUGAUGCCAAGUCAUUUGUGUUGUGCACAUGGGCUUGUGGCUUGCCUUGCUUGCUUAUCUAUCUGAUUGUGAUUGACUGUCUAUUUGAUUGUUCGACUUGUAUACUGAUUAAGUUAGAUUUUUUUCAGGUAGAUAAGUUGCUUAAGUUCUUUUGAACUUGCUUUUGGCUUUGCUUGGUUGCUUAACCAUCUGAGGUAUAACUCUCUGACUGCAUGUAGUCUGGCAGACCUGUCCUGUUACUUGGGCAGGCACCUGUCUGAAGCCCUCCUUAAGAGGCAAUGCUUGUGUAUGUUUAAUUUUGUGCCAAGCAGGAAAAGUCCUUUGAUAAGGCAAUUGGCAGAUAAAAGAGAUGUGCAAUCCAUCUCCUGCUAUUCAGUGUGUCAUCCACUUUGCUCACACACCAUGUGUUGAUGCAUUGUGGAUAUUAACCCAAAAUCUUUGUUGUGUCAGUCACAUGUGGAGAAGAGUUCCCACUUUCUGAACUCCCACAGUUUCAUUUGUCUGAAGCUCUCCCAGGCCAGGGAUAAGAGCUGUGAGGCACACCCCUCACUUCCCAUUUCAUCUGCUUCACCCUAACUCUCAAUGUUAGGGUUAAGAGCUAACAUCACCCUGUUACAGUGGCUUGUUUGUCGAGGUUGACAUGACCCCUUGACUAAAGCCUAGCCUUGUGUGAGCCCACUUUGUUUGUAUAUAGUGUGUGCUAUUUGUGUAUGUUUGCUUUGCCUGUGCUGCUUAGGAUAGCUUGCUCCCUGUGCAAGUUAGCUAGAAACCUCAACCUAGGACCAUGGUGGAUUUGCAUGAUAACUAUUAGGCUCGAGUCAGUCUCCCUUCUAGUUUGUCAUCUCCCAGUCUCUGGUUAGGCUAGUCCUUUUUUCCCUGCGUAGGGAAACUACGUCGCCCUGAUCCUCAUACCAGAUGAGGUACGUAGGCAGGAGAUGAGCUGAUCUCUCCGGGCGCCCUUUUUUUCUUUUUCAACCCCUUUGUGUGUGUUGGAGUCUGACAUAAGUCCAACGAUUGGCAGUUGGUUUCCUGUGUGUGUUUGUUGGUUCGGAGUCUGAUGUAAGUCCAGCGAUUGGCAUUCGGUCUCCAGGUUUGCCUUUUUGUGGGAGUCUGACAUAAGUCCAACGAUUGGCAGUCGGUUUCCUGUGUGGUUUUGUUUGGCGUGCGUUAGCCGAGCUACAAGUGCUCUGAUUCUUCUCCAGUCAGAGAAGAUACGUAUGCAUAGGAUGCGACAUCCUAGCGAACACAUUUCCCCCUGUCCCGAACUACGUCGACUCUGAUGUCUGUGCUUGACAGACUACGUAGGCCCAUGAUGCGAUAUCCUGCCGAGUUAGUUUCUUUUGGUUUUCUGUGUCUCUUUCAGCCAGUGUUUGAUGUUUGAGCAGUGUUUAGCAACCUUAUCCUUUCUUUUGUGCGUGGAUCCCGUCGAGUACGACGGAUGCGUAGGGGUGCUAAUACCUUCCCUUCUCAUAACCGACUCCCGAUCCCAUCUCUCUCUGGUCGCGAGACCAUGUCUUUUCCAGGUUUACUUCGAGCGUUUCCUUUCCCUCUUUUGGGAUAAAUAACGCACGGUGGCGGCUCUGUUGUUUCAUUUUCAAUAACCGACUCCCGAUCCCAUCUCUCUCUGGUCGCGAGACCAUGUCUUUUCCAGGUUUACUUCGAGCGUUUCCUUUCCCUCUUUUGGGAUAAAUAACGCACGGUGGCGGCUCUGUUGUUUCAUUUUCUCCGACGGUUUUUCGCGUAAUGCGACAGCUGGCGACUCUGCUGGGGACUAUAGAGAAGUUGACCUCUUGCUGGUCCAUCUUAUCUAAGAGAUUCUCUCCUAGCGCUCUCUAGGAUAGGGUUUAGGUUGCUUGAGUUGCUCUAUUUAUUGCAUUUAUGAUCAUUAUGUUGUAUAUUUGCAUAUCUGUUUGCAUGCAUCAUACUAUCAUUGUGCUGUCUUUCUAUACAGGUUGUUCUUGUGAUUUGGGGUGGGUGUUCUGAGUGGGGCUAAAACCCAGGCCCGAGUAUACACCUAGUAUUAGCGUGGUCUCACGUCUCCUCACUUGCUGUAUCAGCAUGUUGUUGCGACGUGUCACCACAGCCGGACGAGGUUCAUUUGAGAGAGUCCUUCGGUUUGGAGUUAUUCCACUCAGGUUGGGUUAUCUCAUAUGAGCUAUUGACUUCGGUGACCGAUCUUUCCCGGAUCUUUGGUUUGGAUGAUCUUAAGAGAGCUACAACGGCACACCCGAAAGGGCAAACCCGUUGAGUAUCUUUGCCCGAUUGUCGAGACCAUUGUCCGCCUUAGGAUGACCUUGUUAGAAUUCACGUGUGAGGGGAGGGUUUGAUUCUUGCAAGUACAGGUUUCUGCCAGUGAUGUCGUGUUGGUGACCUUAAGCCGGAUUUAUGGAUCUUUAUUUCUGGACGCCGGAGGUUUGACCCUGGUAUUGAUCGGAGGGUUCCGUUUAUUUCGGAUCCCUGGGCUGAAUUUGAGGGUACUUGCUCAGAUAGUGAUUUGGUUCAGAAGUAUGGGUUCAGAUGACUUUGGGUUUCAGAUGAAUUUGUGGUUCUGAGUUCAAGCCGAAGCUUCGAUACUGUGCUCCGAGAUACACAGCCAGCCAGUCUUGCCUGCAUGCAUUUGCAUCAUGCCCAUUUCGCAUUCAUCUGCAUCUAACCCAUGUCUAUCCGUACUCAGGGUCAAUUUUUGAUUGAGAUUCUGGUCGAGAGACAUCCGUAUGUCAGAAUGUUGUUGUUGAAAUAUUAUCCGUCUCAAUGAUAUCCGUCUCAAUGAAGCUAGAAUCAAAGGACAUUCCUCAUACGGAUAGACAUUGCAUGUGUGAGUCAUACUAACAUGUUUGUUGUUUUGUAGGUGUCAGUGUCUAACUGGUGCGCAUAGCUCUUCCAUUCAGAUAUCUCAGACUAAUGGAUCCGCCCAACACUGACAUUCUCGAAUUGAAAGAGAUGAUGAGAGAAUUGUUCAAAGUCGUGCAAGGGCUCGCCUCGGGGCAGAAGGCAAUUACUGAGAGGUUGGAGAGGAUUGAAAGCUGGAUGAUAAGGGAGAAAGUUCAGGGAAAGGCUUCGUCAUCCGUGGUACAGAAACCCUCUGGCAAUAGUCAGCUCAAGAAGGUCGAAUCAGGUGGGGUGCCUGCCCGAAAGGAGCAUGGUAAGGAUCGGUACCACCCUUAUGCUGCCAUUGUAACCACUCCUGUUGGUAGUCCAUCGGUACCACAGCAACAACCACUACCUCAACAGAAGGCACGGAAAGCUAAGAGCCAAAUGAAGAAGGGGACGGAUUGUCAGUUUGAUAAGCCACCCGUGACUUAUACCCUUCUGUUCAAGAGGUUAAGGGAGCUUGGGUUAGUUCGGCUAAGGAUAUUGGUUCCUGUAGAACAGCGUCAGAGGCCUGCAAACUAUGAUGAGAAUGCCAAGUGCGAGUUCCAUUCUGGGGCACCCGGACAUAACAUUGAGGGUUGUAGAGCUUUCAAGCACGUCGUCCAGGACAUGGUGGAUUCUAAGGCCAUCAGUUUGGCACAGAUACUGAAUGAUAAUGUUAACCCCGUACCAAUACAUGGUCCUAUGGGGGUGAAGGUGAUGUCAAAGAGCAAGAGAGGAAUAGAGGUGACUGAUGGAGAUCAGUUAAAAACUCCAAUGUCUGUGAUCCCAAACAUCUGAUAAAGAGUGGAGCUUUCCCUAGUAUUGAUAACUGUUGUGCGGCCGUCGCCACAAAUGGGUGUGUAAUGAUGAGGGAAACGAUCCAAAGAAUGAUGGAAGCAGAAAUGGAUGGUGGAAAAUUUGAAAAACCAGGUCAGGCAGUUGAAACCAUCAAGGUAGAGGAAGCCAUCUGUGUUGAGAAAGAGAAGAAGCUGUCCAUUUCUUCUUAUAAACAGGCCAUGGAAGUGGUGAAGAACGGAGAAGCCCUAGGCUAGGGAAAGAUCAUAGACAUUAUGGUGAAAGCGGAUAUGUUCGGGGUUGGCUAUCAGCCAGAUCAAGAGUCGUCUAGACAGAACAGAGGACGUCGUCCACCGUUCACGUUCGUCAGUGCCGGAAUGCUGGAUCCAGGUCACGCCUGUAUAGCGGGUGAAGAGAUUGACCGUGACCGCGAGCUUGAGUGGUGGAUAAAAUCGUGCGUACCAGGGAACUGGAAGGCCUCAAAGAUCACCACUGUCACUCAUCCAGAAGAGUAGUAUUUAUGUGUUUCAAUUCUGUUUGCAUGAAAGCCAUACGUUUUGCCCGAAAUGUAAUAGUCCAUUGUAAGGGUCAUCUCAUGUGUUUCAUUGUGCAACAUUUUGCAUCGUUAAUAAAUGGAUGUUUUGUGAUUAAAAGCGGUGUUCCCUGUUUUUCAUUUAUUUUUGCAGUUUAAAAAAAUAAAAUGGCAAUGUUUAUUUUCAUUUUUCUUUCCUUUUGAUUCGUCUUGUUCCGACCUCAAAAGAGACUAUCCUCCUGAUCUCAUUGAUAACAAUUCGGUUACACCUCUGUAUGACUUCGACAAUCGAAUCUAUCAUGCCGAAGAAUAAGGCGAAGAAGAUUGUGAUCUGCUGGAAUUAGCCAGGUUGUUAAGACAAGAGGAGAAGGUGAUUCAACCGCACGAGAGCGAUUCAAGAUUGUUAUUCCAGGCACCGCCGAGGUCAGAAGAAGUGAAGUUGGAGCUGCUUCAGAGGCGAGUCGAGAGCAGAAUGGUAGCCUUGUUGAAAGAGCAUAUGGAUACCUUCGCCUGGUCGUGUCAGGAUAUGCCAGGGUUGGAUACCGAUGUCGUUGGGCACAAGCUACCAUGGAGAGAAGACUGUCCUCUAGUGAAGCAGAACGCCAGUGCCACGUAUCAGAGUGACUUUGUUUCAUGAUAUGAUUCACUGUGGAAUCAAAUGCUAUGUUGAUGACAUGAUAGUAAAGUCCUAAGCAGAAGGGGCAUCUGGUGGAUCCGGGACAAGUUGUUUGACCGGUUGAGACAACUCAGACUGAGGUUGAGUCCGAAUCAGUGCACUUGUGGAGUGCUGUCCGGUAAGUUGCCGAGGCUUAUUGUGAACGAAAGAGAAAUCGAGGUCGAUCCUGCUAAAAAAAAAAAAAAGAAAAAGAAAGAAAGAAAAGAAAAGAAAGGAAAAAAGCAAUACAAAGAAAUGCCCGAACCGAAAAAAAAGAGAGCGAAUGGUCAGGUGGAUAAUGAUUGCCAAGGGGCAUUGAAAGAUAAAAGAAUAAGUUGCAGGAACCUCUGAUUCUGAUGCCUCCUGUGGAAGGAACAACUGUUAAUCUGGUACUUGACAGCCCUCGAGGGGUCUAUGAGGUGUGUACUGGGUCAGCAUGACGAGUCUGGUCGAAAAGAGCAUGCAAUUUACCUUAGCAAAGAGUUUAUCGACUGUGAAACAAUACAUUCACUGCUCGAGAGAACUUGCUGUACUUUGGCAUAGGCUGCUCGCACUGAGACAGUAUAUGCUGGUUCAUACCACUUUGUGGAUUUCCAAGAUGGAUCCAAUCAAGUAUACGUUUGAGAAGUCAGCAUUGACCGGACGGGUGGCGAAAGGGCAAAUGAUGUUGACUGAAUACGAUAUACAGUAUACCUCUCAGAAAGCAAUCGAGGGGAGUGUAUUGUCCGAUUACAUCACCCCGCAACCCAUUGAGGAUUAUCAACCAAGGAAGUUUGAGUUCCCUGAUGAAGGCAUCUCGAGGUGCUCAAAUCGAAAGAUUGUGAGGAACCAAUCCCGGAGGAGGGGCCUGACCCUGAAUCCGAACGUAUUCUGAUGUCUGAUGGGGGAGGUUAAUAUGGAUGAGUUAGUGCCGUGUUGGUUACGCCAAAAAGAUCCCACAUUCCUUUUGUGGCCCGGAUAACAUUUGAAUGCACCAACAAUGGUGGCUGAGUACGAAGCUUGUAUCCUGGUGUAGCACCUCGAAUUUGCACCCUCCCAUUUGUACAUUCAUUUCAUUUUUAGGUCAUUAACAUUGCAUUCACAUUGCAUAGUCCAUUGCAUUGCAUCAGUCAGGACUGGCAUCAGGAGAAGUCAACUGUGCAAGAGAUCAAGUUUUUCCAUGAGACAAAGGCCCUAUGGGUGUUCCAAUGAGCUUAUGUGAACCCAAGGUUCAUUUUGAUGCAAUUUGGCCAAGUGUUGAAAGCUCAAAAUCCACAAUGCGUAACCAAGUCGGCUGAGGCCCAUAAAAGUCAACCGUCUAACCAAAUAUCCAUAUACCAUCCUUGUCCAUAUCACCAACCCAUAUCCGCAUUUUAAAACCAAAUGUCCAUAACCUUUUUUUUAAUCCAUUUUUCACAAUAAAAAUCCACUAGUAAUCCAAAUCCUCUUUCCAAAUCAAUAUUUCAUUUUACUAAUUCCUAAUUUCUAAAACAAUCCAUGUGACCAUUUAAUUCUUUUUUUCAAACCAUUUAUCCAUUUUUAAACCAUAUCCAAUUCCAAAAUCAAUUAAACCAUUUUCCAAAUAAGUCCUUAACAUGAUCCAAAACCAUAUGCAUGUAGUUUGUUCAUAAAAAUAAAUAUAAUAAUACAAAAAAAAAAAGAGCAAAUGAAAUGAUACAGCAGUACAAUGCAAACAGCAAGCUUCAUCAAGCUACACACUCCAAGUGAAGCCAGCGUCAAAGCAUAAGCGGCAAAUGAAGCGCAUGGGCAACUAGUGUACAAACCAAGCUCCACGCCAAGGUAAUGUAAAAGCUGCCACAAAAGCAACGCAGCAAUGCUACUUCAAAGCAGAAUUUACUGAAGACGGAGCUUUAUUCUGCAACUUGGCAGAGAACUUUGAAGCAAGUGAUAUU
rnacentral:lncRNA from 1 species